ensembl:lncRNA
GUGUGCGUGACUGCUGCUGAAAGGAGCAGUCCUGGGGAAGCAGUUCCCAGGAGGAGAAGGGGGAGGAGGGACCUUUUAAGUUAAGUUUGCUACAGUUGUUUAGUGUGUAAGUUCAAAACAGACACAGCAGCAGUGGACUAUGUAGCAGUGUGUUCUGAAGAAGUAAUGUCCUUGCCUUCACAGAGGGGUGGUGGUUCUUCAUUUUCUGAAUUUUAUUUUUUAGGAGUUCCUUGAAUCAGUACAAGACUUGGAAUCUGGGACAAAGAAUCGGACAGCUGUCAAGAAAAAUAAUCUGCUGGCCUAUUGUAGCUUCAGUGAUAUGGCACUUCUGGAGAUGUUUGAGAUUGCAGAGAGGCACUUGAAAGGAAGAGAAGAACUACAUAUCCCAGAGGACCUCACGGUCAGAGAAGGAAGAUACAUCACGGAAGAUACAUCAUCUGGUUGCGCG